rnacentral:rRNA from 1 species
AUGACAGGGAGCCUCCUCGCCGAUGAAGGCUGCUCGUGUCAACGCCUUCACCGGAUCUUAGAAGAUAUUAACUACAAGCUGUUUCGUUCUUCUAGUUUUCUAGAAGGCAACAAAGAAGCAACCACUGAGGAGAUUUUUGAAUGGAACUCUGACGAUGAUGUUGAAAAUGAGAACUUGGUUAAGCAUUGUUGCUUAGAAGACAACAAGAAAGCAAUAAUUGAAAAGAAAUUGGAUUGGAAGCAGUUUGGAAGUACAACAAUCGUAAUGUUGUUAACAAUUAUGAUAUGGUUGAAGAGUGUUACUGGGAUGAAAAGCAUUAUGAUGAUUCAUAUGAUGAAGACAUUGAGAUACUUGGGUUUCACCCAUAUAAAGAGGUUGUCUUCUUGA